UUAAGCGACUAAGCGUACACGGUGGAUGCCCUGGCAGUCAGAGGCGAUGAAGGACGUGCUAAUCUGCGAUAAGCGUCGGUAAGGUGAUAUGAACCGUUAUAACCGGCGAUUUCCGAAUGGGGAAACCCAGUGUGUUUCGACACACUAUCAUUAACUGAAUCCAUAGGUUAAUGAGGCGAACCGGGGGAACUGAAACAUCUAAGUACCCCGAGGAAAAGAAAUCAACCGAGAUUCCCCCAGUAGCGGCGAGCGAACGGGGAGCAGCCCAGAGCCUGAAUCAGUAUGUGUGUUAGUGGAAGCGUCUGGAAAGGCGCGCGAUACAGGGUGACAGCCCCGUACACAAAAAUGCACAUAUUGUGAGCUCGAUGAGUAGGGCGGGACACGUGGUAUCCUGUCUGAAUAUGGGGGGACCAUCCUCCAAGGCUAAAUACUCCUGACUGACCGAUAGUGAACCAGUACCGUGAGGGAAAGGCGAAAAGAACCCCGGCGAGGGGAGUGAAAAAGAACCUGAAACCGUGUACGUACAAGCAGUGGGAGCACGCUUAGGCGUGUGACUGCGUACCUUUUGUAUAAUGGGUCAGCGACUUAUAUUCUGUAGCAAGGUUAACCGAAUAGGGGAGCCGAAGGGAAACCGAGUCUUAACUGGGCGUUAAGUUGCAGGGUAUAGACCCGAAACCCGGUGAUCUAGCCAUGGGCAGGUUGAAGGUUGGGUAACACUAACUGGAGGACCGAACCGACUAAUGUUGAAAAAUUAGCGGAUGACUUGUGGCUGGGGGUGAAAGGCCAAUCAAACCGGGAGAUAGCUGGUUCUCCCCGAAAGCUAUUUAGGUAGCGCCUCGUGAAUUCAUCUCCGGGGGUAGAGCACUGUUUCGGCAAGGGGGUCAUCCCGACUUACCAACCCGAUGCAAACUGCGAAUACCGGAGAAUGUUAUCACGGGAGACACACGGCGGGUGCUAACGUCCGUCGUGAAGAGGGAAACAACCCAGACCGCCAGCUAAGGUCCCAAAGUCAUGGUUAAGUGGGAAACGAUGUGGGAAGGCCCAGACAGCCAGGAUGUUGGCUUAGAAGCAGCCAUCAUUUAAAGAAAGCGUAAUAGCUCACUGGUCGAGUCGGCCUGCGCGGAAGAUGUAACGGGGCUAAACCAUGCACCGAAGCUGCGGCAGCGACACUAUGUGUUGUUGGGUAGGGGAGCGUUCUGUAAGCCUGUGAAGGUGUGCUGUGAGGCAUGCUGGAGGUAUCAGAAGUGCGAAUGCUGACAUAAGUAACGAUAAAGCGGGUGAAAAGCCCGCUCGCCGGAAGACCAAGGGUUCCUGUCCAACGUUAAUCGGGGCAGGGUGAGUCGACCCUAAGGCGAGGCCGAAAGGCGUAGUCGAUGGGAAACAGGUUAAUAUUCCUGUACUUGGUGUUACUGCGAAGGGGACGGAGAAGGCUAUGUUGGCCGGGCGACGGUUGUCCCGGUUUAAGCGUGUAGGCUGGUUUUCCAGGCAAAUCCGGAAAAUCAAGGCUGAGGCGUGAUGACGAGGCACUACGGUGCUGAAGCAACAAAUGCCCUGCUUCCAGGAAAAGCCUCUAAGCAUCAGGUAACAUCAAAUCGUACCCCAAACCGACACAGGUGGUCAGGUAGAGAAUACCAAGGCGCUUGAGAGAACUCGGGUGAAGGAACUAGGCAAAAUGGUGCCGUAACUUCGGGAGAAGGCACGCUGAUAUGUAGGUGAAGUCCCUCGCGGAUGGAGCUGAAAUCAGUCGAAGAUACCAGCUGGCUGCAACUGUUUAUUAAAAACACAGCACUGUGCAAACACGAAAGUGGACGUAUACGGUGUGACGCCUGCCCGGUGCCGGAAGGUUAAUUGAUGGGGUUAGCCGCAAGGCGAAGCUCUUGAUCGAAGCCCGGUAAACGGCGGCCGUAACUAUAACGGUCCUAAGGUAGCGAAAUUCCUUGUCGGGUAAGUUCCGACCUGCACGAAUGGCGUAAUGAUGGCCAGGCUGUCUCCACCGAGACUCAGUGAAAUUGAACUCGCUGUGAAGAUGCAGUGUACCCGCGGCAAGACGGAAAGACCCCGUGAACCUUUACUAUAGCUUGACACUGAACAUUGAGCCUUGAUGUGUAGGAUAGGUGGGAGGCUUUGAAGUGUGGACGCCAGUCUGCAUGGAGCCGACCUUGAAAUACCACCCUUUAAUGUUUGAUGUUCUAACGUUGACCCGUAAUCCGGGUUGCGGACAGUGUCUGGUGGGUAGUUUGACUGGGGCGGUCUCCUCCUAAAGAGUAACGGAGGAGCACGAAGGUUGGCUAAUCCUGGUCGGACAUCAGGAGGUUAGUGCAAUGGCAUAAGCCAGCUUGACUGCGAGCGUGACGGCGCGAGCAGGUGCGAAAGCAGGUCAUAGUGAUCCGGUGGUUCUGAAUGGAAGGGCCAUCGCUCAACGGAUAAAAGGUACUCCGGGGAUAACAGGCUGAUACCGCCCAAGAGUUCAUAUCGACGGCGGUGUUUGGCACCUCGAUGUCGGCUCAUCACAUCCUGGGGCUGAAGUAGGUCCCAAGGGUAUGGCUGUUCGCCAUUUAAAGUGGUACGCGAGCUGGGUUUAGAACGUCGUGAGACAGUUCGGUCCCUAUCUGCCGUGGGCGCUGGAGAACUGAGGGGGGCUGCUCCUAGUACGAGAGGACCGGAGUGGACGCAUCACUGGUGUUCGGGUUGUCAUGCCAAUGGCACUGCCCGGUAGCUAAAUGCGGAAGAGAUAAGUGCUGAAAGCAUCUAAGCACGAAACUUGCCCCGAGAUGAGUUCUCCUGACUCCUUGAGAGUCCUGAAGGAACGUUGAAGACGACGACGUUGAUAGGCCGGGUGUGUAAGCGCAGCGAUGCGUUGAGCUAACCGGUACUAAUGAACCGUGAGGCUUAACCU
rnacentral:rRNA from 1 species